rnacentral:rRNA from 1 species
GAUGAACGCUGGCGGCGUGCUUAACACAUGCAAGUCGAACGAAGCAUUUAAGACAGAUUACUUCGGUUUGAAGUCUUUUAUGACUGAGUGGCGGACGGGUGAGUAACGCGUGGGUAACCUGCCUCAUACAGGGGGAUAGCAGCUGGAAACGGCUGGUAAUACCGCAUAAGCGCACAGUACCACAUGGUACAGUGUGAAAAACUCCGGUGGUAUGAGAUGGACCCGCGUCUGAUUAGCUUGUUGGCGGGGUAACGGCCCACCAAGGCGACGAUCAGUAGCCGACCUGAGAGGGUGACCGGCCACAGUGGGACUGAGACACGGCCCAGACUCCUACGGGAGGCAGCAGUGGGGAAUAUUGCACAAUGGAGGAAACUCUGAUGCAGCGACGCCGCGUGAGUGAAGAAGUAGUUCGCUAUGUAAAGCUCUAUCAGCAGGGAAGAUAGUGACGGUACCUGACUAAGAAGCUCCGGCUAAAUACGUG